rnacentral:rRNA from 1 species
AACGAACGCUGGCGGCAGGCUUAACACAUGCAAGUCGAACGAGAUCUUCGGAUCUAGUGGCAGACGGGUGAGGAACACGUGGGAACAUCCCUUUCAGUUCGGAAUAACGUUGGGAAACUAACGCUAAUACCGGAUACGUCCUUCGGGAGAAAGAUUUAUCGCUGAAAGAUUGGCCCGCGUCUGAUUAGCUAGUUGGUGAGGUAAUGGCUCACCAAGGCUACGAUCAGUAGCUGAUCUGAGAGGAUGAUUAGCCACAUUGGGACUGAGACACGGCCCAAACUCCUACGGGAGGCAGCAGUGGGGAAUAUUGGACAAUGGGGGAAACCCUGAUGCAGCGACGCCGCGUGAGUGAAGAAGUAUUUCGGUAUGUAAAGCUCUAUCAGCAGGGACGAUAAUGACGGUACCUGACUAAGAAGCCCCGGCUAACUACGUGCCAGCCGCCGCGGUAA